UCAAGUGGGUGGCUGGCAGCUCGCAUGCGGUGCCUUUCUGCCUCCUCCUCCUCCUCUGCCUCUCCUGGUGGAGUGGGGAGAGCCAGGGCUCCAGAAGACGUCAACGAUGGUGCUUAAAGAGAAGUUUGCUCCAUUGAUCCUGUCAAAUAUCUCCUUGAAAGUUCUGAAUGGAAAACAUCCUGCUUAUCUCUAAUCAAAGCUGGGUUUUCUCUGCCUCUGGGCCAAAACACUGCAACAGGCUUGGCUGUUGCGGGAGUGGUGGAUGCUGAGCUGACAUGGGGUUGCCUGCUGCCUUUCCAGGCAUGGGGAGAACCUGAAAACCAGCCUCUUCCCACUGUGCCACUGGCUGCAAGCCCUGGACACCGAUCUGAGGGGUGUCCCUCUGCCCUUGACUCCUUGCCAGGCAUGGCUGGCUAGAAACACACCUCCAGAUGGAGCAGGCUAGGAAAG